CAAUAGCGUAUAUUAAAGUUGUUGCGGUUAAAAAGCUCGUAGUUGGAUUUCUGUCGAAAACGGCCGGUCCGCUCUAUGAGCGUGCAUCUGGUUCGGUUUUGGCAUCCUUAUGGAGAACGUAACUGCGCUUGAUUGCGUGGUGCGGUAUUCAUAACUUUUACUUUGAGGAAAUUAGAGUGUUCACGGCAGGCAAGCGCCUUGAAUAUAUUAGCAUGGAAUAAUAAUAUAGGACAUGGGUUCUAUUUUGUUGGUUUCUUAGAACUUAUGUAAUGAUUAAUAGGGAUAAUUGGGGGCGAUUCGUAUUUAACUGUCAGAGGUGAAAUUACUUGGAUUUGUUUAAAGACGGACUACUGCGAAAGCAUUUGCCAAGGAUGUUUUCUAUUGAUCAAGAACGAAAGUUAGGGGA
rnacentral:rRNA from 1 species